rnacentral:rRNA from 1 species
UCGGGAAUUUUGGGCAAUGGGCGAAAGCCUGACCCAGCAACGCCGCGUGAAGGAUGAAGUAUUUCGGUAUGUAAACUUCGAAAGAAUGGGAAGAAUCAAUGACGGUACCAUUUAUAAGGUCCGGCUAACUACGUGCCAGCAGCCGCGGUAAUACGUAGGGACCAAGCGUUGUUCGGAUUUACUGGGCGUAAAGGGCGCGUAGGCGGCAAUUCAAGUCAUCUGUGAAAUCUCCGGGCUUAACUCGGAACGGUCAGAUGAUACUGCUUUGCUAGAGUGCAGAAGGGGCAAUCGGAAUUCUUGGUGUAGCGGUGAAAUGCGUAGAUAUCAAGAGGAACACCUGAGGUGAAGACGGGUUGCUGGGCUGACACUGACGCUGAGGCGCGAAAGCCAGGGGGAGCAAACGGGAUUAGAUACCCUCGUAGUCCCUGAGCGGGCUGGCAAGGCGCAU